rnacentral:hammerhead_ribozyme from 1 species
AUCCAACUGACGAGUCUUAAAUAGGACGAAACGGAUGGCCUAGAU